GGAGAUGUAGCUCAGCUGGUUAGAGCGUCGCACUCAUAACGCGAAGGUCGGUGGUUCAAGUCCACCCAUCUCCACCA
rnacentral:tRNA from 4 species